GACGAACGCUGGCGGCGUGCCUAAUACAUGCAAGUCGAACGCAGUGGGGACGGGUGAGUAACACGUGGGUAACCUCCCAUCAGAGGGGAUAACACUUGGAAACAGGUGCUAAACCGAUACUGAUGGAUGGACCCGCGGUGCAUUAGCUAGUUGGUGAGGUAACGGGUCACCAAGGCCACGAUGCAUAGCGGACCGGCGAGGGGGAUGGGCAACACGGGGACUGAGAAACGGCCCAGACUCCUACGGGAGGCAGCAGUAGGGAAUCUUCGGCAAUGGACGAAAGUCUGAACGAGCAACGCCGCGUGAGUGAAGAAGGUUUUCGGAUCGUAAAACGCUGUUGUUAGAGAAGCGGUAUCUAACAAGAAAGCAACGGCUAACUACGUGCCAGCAGCCGCGGUAAUUC
rnacentral:rRNA from 1 species